rnacentral:rRNA from 1 species
GUAGGUGGCAAGCGUUGUCCGGAAUUAUUGGGCGUAAAGCGCGCGCAGGCGGUUCUUUAAGUCUGAUGUGAAAGCCCACGGCUCAACCGUGGAGGGUCAUUGGAAACUGGAGAACUUGAGUACAGAAGAGGAAAGCGGAAUUCCACGUGUAGCGGUGAAAUGCGUAGAGAUGUGGAGGAACACCAGUGGCGAAGGCGGCUUUCUGGUCUGUAACUGACGCUGAGGCGCGAAAGCGUGGGGAGCAAACAGGAUUAGAUACCCUGGUAGUCCACGCCGUAAACGAUGAGUGCUAAGUGUUAGGGGGGUUUCCGCCCCCCCCUAGUGCUGCAGCUAACGCAUUAAGCACUCCGCCUGGGAGUACGGCCGCAAGGCUG